GGAGGGCCCACCUCCUCCUCAGCCUUAACCCUUGCCUGCCCACCCCAACCCCUCGUGGAAUGGGGGGAUGGUGGUUGGUUUUGAAGUCAAACAGAUAUUGUUUCAGCUUUAAGCUUUACCAUGCCACAUUUCUAAACUUCGGUUUCCUAAUCUGUACAGUGGGGAUAAUGAUGCCCGUCCGGCUAGUGUACAAAAUUGGAUGAGGGCAUUGCAAAAGGACGUGAAUGGGCCACAACAUCUAAAGGAACUGGGGCACCUGGGAGUUUUCAUUUCCAUUAUUUCACUUGGAGCCAGUGGUUUUCAGAGCGGGGGGCCAGUGGCACCACAGAGCUGCCUGUGAGUAGAAGGGGAGAUGCAUCUGUCCUGUUGUGGGUUAAAUUGUGGCCCCCCCAACCCUCCCCUGCCACAAAAGAUAUAUGAGAGUCCUAACCCCUGGGAACAGUGACCUUAUUUGGAAAUGGAGUCUUUGCCGAAGUAAUCAAAUUCAGAUAAGGUCCUAUUGGAGUAGGUGGACGCUUCAUCCAAUAUGACUGCUGUCCUUCAAGAAGACAGAAAUGUGGAAACAGACACACAGAGGGAUCGCCAUGUGGGAUGCACAAGGGAACACCAUGAGAGACUGAGUCAGACACUGGAGUGAGCAGCUACAACCCAGGGAACCCCAAGGAAUUGCUGGCCACCACCAAAGCCCAGAGAAGCAGGGCAAGCCUCUACCCAGGGUUUCAGAGGGAGACGGCCUUGCCAGUCUCUUGGUUUCAGACUUCCAGCCCUCAGAUUGUGGGAAAACACAUUACUGCUGUUUUCAGCCAUACAAUUUGUGGUACUUUGUUAGGACCACCUUAGGAAAUGAAUAUGCAUCCUAACAGGACAACUUCGAUUCCAAGUCUCGUGUGGUGGGGCCAAAGAGCCCUUGCCCUGGAGUCACACAGACCCUGAUGUGCAGUGGGGAUCCCACCAUGCUGAACGACUUGCCCCAUUCUCCCAGAGCUACGGGACCACGAUGCCCCCCGUCACAGUAGUUGAAUGACCUUGGAUGAGCGACUAUUCACCCCCAUUAUAUUCUCCAUCUGUCAGAUGGAGACUGUGAUGUAAACCCCAUGUGGCUGGGAGGACUAACCAAGGUCCACAUCUCCAGGGCCGCUCUUAGCUCAGAGUCUUUCUGAGGGAAACUGCCUGGCACCAGUCCGUGUUGAAGGUGUCAGCCUAUUGGAACCUGCCCUCUCAGAUAGGGAUAAAAAUAGAGUUGCUGUGAAGAUGAAGUAAAUGAAGACAUGCUGAGAACUCAGAACAACGCUUGGCAACAGUAAUUGUUUAAUACGUGCUAUUAUUAACAAGUAAUAGUCUUUCCC
rnacentral:lncRNA from 1 species